rnacentral:rRNA from 1 species
UGGGGAAUAUUGCACAAUGGGGGAAACCCUGAUGCAGCAACGCCGCGUGGAGGAUGACGCAUUUCGGUGUGUAAACUCCUUUUAUAUCCCAAGAUAAUGACGGUAGGAUAUGAAUAAGCACCGGCUAACUCCGUGCCAGCAGCCGCGGUAAUACGGAGGGUGCAAGCGUUACUCGGAAUCACUGGGCGUAAAGGAUGCGUAGGCGGGUAAUCAAGUUGAGAGUGAAAUCCUAUGGCUUAACCAUAGAACUGCUCUCAAAACUGGUUACCUAGAAUAUGGAAGAGGCAGAUGGAAUUAGUGGUGUAGGGGUAAAAUCCGUAGAGAUCACUAGGAAUACCGAUUGCGAAGGCGAUCUGCUGGGACAUUAUUGACGCUGAGGCAUGAAAGCGUGGGGAGCAAACA